AGAUCCAAGAAAGACGCCACCUCC
rnacentral:siRNA from 1 species